rnacentral:tRNA from 1 species
GGUGGGUUGGCUCAGUGGUUAGAGCGUAUCUCGUAACCGAAAGGUUGCGGGAUCGAAUCCCGCUAGAGGCUG